AUGCAGAGACUCUCUAAUGGUAUCAAGGGAACUCAUCCAACAACCCCGGAUGAUAGAUUCAAGGCAGAACUGACCAUCAUGAAGUUGGUUCAACAUGAAACUUUUCCAGACGCUAUCAGCAUCCUCUGUAAAUCUGAAAACCUACCAAGAACAAACUCAUUGAAACCUCUAGAGCCAGUUCCACAGGAGGGGACUCUUCGAGUUGGAGGCAGACUUAGUAGGGCAGCCUUGCCAUCACUCUACAAACACCCGAUAAUCUUACCCAAAGAGAGUCACAUUACACUCUUGAUUCUAUCUCAUGCUCACAUGGAAACCUUUCAUCAAGGAAGAGGUUUUACCCUUAACAAACUCCGGUCUCUGGGAUAUUGGAUCGUAGGAGGUAGAGCUGUUCGACAACUAACCAAGACCAAGACCAAACUAGACCAAGGAACUAACUUCAUUGGUGCAAAGAAUGAGUUUCAGAAAGCUAUGGACAAAGAAAGAAUAUGUUCAUUCUUGGCAGAGAAACAGUGUGAAUUUGUGUUUAACGCGCCGAGUGCUAGCCAUACCGGAGGAGUGUGGGAACGUCAAAUAAGAACUGUUCGUAGCAUUCUCAACGCCAUAAUAUUACUUUGUCCUGGAAGACUGGAUGACUCUUCACUGAAAACCGUAUUCUACGAGGCAAUGUCUAUUGUAAACCGUCGCCCACUUACAGUAAGCGAGAUCGACAACCCAGAUUCGCUAGAGCCACUUACUCCGAACCACAUUUUAACUGGAAAGACUUCAUCUCCUCUUCCCCCUCCAGGAGAGUUCCUGAAGGAAGAUAUGUAUAUCCGCAAACGUUGGAGACGUGGAACAGAGACGAGAAUACUUGGCCCAGAUUACCUUGCGACAGAAGUGGCACGGAGUACGUCGGAGCAUUGUUCUGGUGAAGGACGUCGAUUUGCCGCGCAACCAAUGGCCUCUUGGUAGAGUCAUCGAAAGCAAC
rnacentral:sRNA from 1 species